rnacentral:rRNA from 1 species
AGAGUUUGAUCCUGGCUCAGGAUGAACGCUAGCGACAGGCUUAACACAUGCAAGUCGAGGGGCAGCAAUUUGUAGCAAUACAAAGUUGGCGACCGGCGCACGGGUGAGUAACGCGUAUGCAACCUACCUACAACAGAAGAAUAAUCCGGCGAAAGUCGGUCUAAUACUUCAUAAAACAGGGACACCGCAUGGUGUUAUUUGUUAAAGAUUUAUCGGUUGUAGAUGGGCAUGCGUACCAUUAGGUAGUUGGUGAGGUAACGGCUCACCAAGCCUACGAUGGUUAGGGGUUCUGAGAGGAAAAUCCCCCACACUGGUACUGAGACACGGACCAGACUCCUACGGGAGGCAGCAGUGAGGAAUAUUGGUCAAUGGGCGAGAGCCUGAACCAGCCAAGUCGCGUGAAGGAUGACGGCCCUAUGGGUUGUAAACUUCUUUUGCAGGGGAAUAAAGAUAUUCACGUGUGGGUAGUUGUAUGUACCCUGCGAAUAAGCAUCGGCUAACUCCGUGCCAGCAGCCGCGGUAAUACGGAGGAUGCGAGCGUUAUCCGGAUUUAUUGGGUUUAAAGGGUGCGUAGGUGGGCUAUUAAGUCAGUGGUGAAAGUUUGUCGCUCAACGAUAAAAUUGCCGUUGAAACUGGUGGUCUUGAGUAUGGAUGAAGUAGGCGGAAUGCGUGGUGUAGCGGUGAAAUGCAUAGAGAUCACGCAGAACUCCGAUUGCGAAGGCAGCUUACUAAGGCAUAACUGACACUGAAGCACGAAAGCGUGGGUAUCAAACAGGAUUAGAUACCCUGGUAGUCCACGCAGUAAACGAUGAUUACUAGGAGUUUGCGAUAUAGUGUAAGCUCUACAGCGAAAGCGUUAAGUAAUCCACCUGGGGAGUACGCCGGCAACGGUGAAACUCAAAGGAAUUGACGGGGGCCCG